rnacentral:sRNA from 1 species
CCCGAGCUGUCGCCCCCUUCAUCGUGGC